rnacentral:rRNA from 1 species
AUUGAACGCUGGCGGCAGGCCUAACACAUGCAAGUCGAGCGGAUGAAGGGAGCUUGCUCCUGGAUUCAGCGGCGGACGGGUGAGUAAUGCCUAGGAAUCUGCCUGGUAGUGGGGGAUAACGUCCGGAAACGGGCGCUAAUACCGCAUACGUCCUGAGGGAGAAAGUGGGGGAUCUUCGGACCUCACGCUAUCAGAUGAGCCUAGGUCGGAUUAGCUAGUUGGUGGGGUAAAGGCCUACCAAAGCGACGAUCCGUAACUGGUCUGAGAGGAUGAUCAGUCAAACUGGAAAUGAGACAAGGUCCAGACUCCUAAGGGAGGCAGCAGUGGGGAAUAUUGGACAAAGGGCGAAAGCCUGAUCCAGCCAUGCCGCGUGUGUGAAGAAGGUCUUCGGAUUGUAAAGCACUUUAAGUUGGGAGGAAGGGCAGUAAGUUAAUACCUUGCUGUUUUGACGUUACCAACAGAAUAAGCACCGGCUAACUUCGUG